UACGAAGGGGGCUAGCGUUGCUCGGAAUCACUGGGCGUAAAGGGUGCGUAGGCGGGUUUUUAAGUCAGGGGUGAAAUCCUGGAGCUCAACUCCAGAACUGCCUUUGAUACUGAAGAUCUUGAGUCCGGGAGAGGUGAGUGGAACUGCGAGUGUAGAGGUGAAAUUCGUAGAUAUUCGCAAGAACACCAGUGGCGAAGGCGGCUCUCUGGACCGAGACUGACGCUGAGGCGCGAAAGCGUGGGGAGCAAACAGG
rnacentral:rRNA from 1 species